CAAUCAUCUUCUUCCACACCACAAGAUCAAAGCUCAAUCACGAACUUCAAAUCACAACCGGUCAUUCGAAUUGCGUACCGUACAGAUCGAACCACCAGAUGAAAACCCAUUCCUAGCGCCAUCGGAACAUUGCACCAACCGUUAACAGCCGUCAGAAGGAAGCUGCGUUUCCCUUUAUCGAACAACCUGAGAGAGAAGGAGAGACCAUUCUCUGUGAGAGUAAAAUAUUUGGUUCGAGAGACGAAAAGGGUCGAAGAGUGGGAAUGGAGUUUCGUCCUUGAUGGGUUGUUUUUGGUAAAAUAAAGGAACCCUUUUGAGUUUGUGGGUUCAAAGAGUGAGAAUCAUGGGUAGCGAAGUGAAUGAAAGCGAGGAAUACUCGCUGCUCAAGAAUCUGAGGCUGGAAAUUGAUGUAGAUGAUGGCUGUUUUACUGUUUGCUUUUGGGUUUAUCUCAUGAAUUCUACCACAUUCCCUAUUUCAAUCCUUCAGCAGGAGCAAUUAGAUUCCUCAGGCAUGACUCCUUUUCUCAUUUUAAGUGAAAGGAAUAGACUGAAGAUUAUGCCUUUGAACACCUUACACAAAGCUGAUGAAGAUUCCAGCCCUGGUAGUUCUUCUUCCGGGGAUGUAGUUCCACAUGAAUAUCUAGACAUCGAUUUUCCCAUGGAAAAAUGGGUUCACAUUGGAUGUGAGGUAUCCACCGAUUUUGUCAGGCUGCAUAUUGAUGGGAAAAUGGUUGGAGAAAAGGCUAUAUCGUCUUCACUCAGUGAAGACACCCUUCCAAGGGGUUUGCGGAGGAUUAUUUUAGGCAAUAAUGGUGAAGACAACAGCAUGCAGGGCUAUGUUCAUAAUGCAAAAAUCUUGCCUUCAGUUUCGUCGAUCAGGGAUCAUUAUGCUGAGGACCUACCUGUUAAAUUAUUUAUCGACAACUCUUCCACCAUGGAGAUUGAAGAGGGCAGUGAUGGCAUCUGGAAUAUAGUUGGUGGCAAGCCAUCUUGUCGUAGAAAUUUUUCAUUGGAUGUCAUGCUGUUAGAUUCCUCUGGCCAUCCUGUUCUGAAGGAACUCGAGGUUGUUGCCUCCCUCAUCUAUGCUGAAAGUGGGGAAGCUGUGGAGAAGUCGUGUGAUGAAGAAGCUCCCCUUUUGGCAAGCUAUGAUGGUGUUGAAUUUGCUUCUAGUGAUAGACCAAGCAAACUGUUGCACGGGCGUGCCUCCUUUAAGUUAAAAAUAUCUCAGCUAUCUUCUAAAUGUGAUAACAAGCUCUUCCGCAUCAGAUUUUGUAUACCUAGAGUUGAGGGGUAUCCCUUCUUCGAGGCUCUCUCUUCUCCAAUUCGGUGUAUCUCAAGGAGUCGAAAUACUCGUAUGUCAACUUUGAUGUUGAAAAGAUCUACCUUCCAUCCACUCGAUGGAUCUAGGUCAUCUGGUUUGGACAAUGGAACCUCAGAACAUGAGUAUGUUUCAGUAGAUGAAGAAAAACCAAGUCCACUAUUGAAGAGGAUUAAGUUGGGACAAGAUAAACCAACCCCUAAUGAUGAUCCUUCAUCAGGGCAAGCAGAUGAGGAAUGCAAUUCUCAUUCUUUUACUGCUAAUGGGGCUGAAAAUGGAUUUGGCACAAGUUUAACUGGAAGACCAAAAAAUAAUGGAUCAACAGGAGCCUCCCCAUCAGACUCCGGGAGCACUGAAGCCAGGCAUUCAGCUCUAAAUAGAACUACAACCAAUGAAAAUCCAAUAUCAGAUGUGAACAUUUUCAAAUAUUGCCUAGCAGGUUUAUCUGAGAGGUCACUUCUGCUCAAGGAGAUUGCAACCUCUGUGUCACAGGAAGAAAUUUUGGAAUUUGCCGAGCAUGUUUCCCUAUAUUCUGGAUGCGUGCACCACAGGCAUCAAAUAUUAAUGUCGAAAAAAUUAAUAGAGGAGGGAACACAAGCUUGGAGCUCAAUCUCACAAAACAAGCAUCAUGUUCAUUGGGAGAAUGUUGGUUUUGAAAUUGAAGAGCAAUUCAUGAGAAUUGCUGGCUGCAGCUCUAGAUCUCUCACUCAGCAGGAUUUUGAGUUGCUGAGAAGAAUUUCUGGUUGUCAAGAGUAUCUGGCCCAAGAGAACUUCGAAAGAAUGUGGUGUUGGUUAUAUCCUGUAGCUUUUACUCUAUCCAGACAGUGGAUAAAUGCAAUGUGGAGUUCUUUAUCACCUAAGUGGAUUGAAGGAUUCAUUACCAAAGAAGAAGCUGAAUUAUCACUUCAAAGUCCGACAGGUCUUCAAGAUCCUGGGACGUUUAUUCUUCGAUUUCCCACCUCAAGAAGCUGGCCUCAUCCUGAUGCUGGUAGCUUGGUAGUUACCUAUGUCGGCAAUGAUUAUGCUCUUCAUCACAGACUUCUUACCCUUGAUCGCAUUUUCAGUUCUGCUGAAGGGGAGAAGAGUAUGAGAAGUCUUCAGGACAUGCUUCUAGCAGAACCCGAGCUAUCUCGUUUGGGAAGGAGUUGUUUGGGAAAGAAUAUUUAUAGGCAUGUUGGAGCCAUUCCAGAACCAAGAUUUGAAAGGUGAACCAUUCAGUCAUCAUCUUCAUAUACUCUUCCUCUCUUCAGAACAUUACUCACAAAAAACUACAAGUUGUAGAUGAAACUUCGUCUCAGUUGCACUUGUAUGAGAACGUGCACGUCAGAUACGAUUAUAUCAUAUUACCAUCUCCAGUCAGGAUAUCUCAUCCGUCAGCAGUUUUAAAACCUUGAAUUAGCAGGCAAUCCUUGUUACAGAAAGCCAAAACAUGUGAUGUGAAUAAAUAUUGAAGUAGAGUCCAGAAAAGAUGGGGUUUUCUCAGCUGUAUUACUUCCUAAUUUUUCCAUUAAUAUGUUUGGUUUGUGAGUUUUUCAACUCCUUGAGGGAAAGACGAAAGGACAGAUGGUACAGAAUCCAUGGAUGACAGCACAACCUUUCACAUGAUGCUUGUUUUGACAAUUCCUUUUUCAUCCUUUUAUUUUGAGUCUCCACUUUUUCUACCAACUCAUCAAUGGUUGGUUUCUCCAACUUUCCUGGAUAUAUUUUAAUUUAUUCAUCUCAAUGAUCUCUACUGUUUAUGUCU